rnacentral:lncRNA from 13 species
UUCGCUUCUCUUUAUAUAUGUUCUGUGGUUGAGUCAGUUGAGUGCCAUGGUGGAAGGGGGAUAACAAUGGGUACAUCCAGAAUAUCCAGAUACGCGAUCGCUCACUGAGAGCUGAGCGGUUGCGCAUCUGGAUGCACCUAAUGUAAUACUUCCACCAUGCUCCCGUGGUUGAGUGUAGUCGUCAUGGUCCAGUAGUAGUGGUGUAAUACUUUGCAAGUGUCGUGUUCUUAUAUGAAAUGGUCGAAUAUUGCCAAACAUUGGAAAUUUAGAAUUUCUAGUUUAACAGCUACUAAGAAGGUCGUAGAGUAUAAAGGAAAUUGUCGAAUAUUGCCAAACAUUGGAAAAUUAGAAUUUCUGGUUUAACGACUAGUAAGAAGUGUAUGGACGGUUCAUUUUAUGAACAUAUAUAAAAUGUAUUAGAUAUUUGCAGAUGUUGUUAAUUGAAAAAACUAUCAUUUACUUACAUUUACAAUUACAAUUUUAGAAUAUACAAUCUCUAAUUAUUAUAGGCUUAAUUCUACAAAAAUGUAUGUAUUUUUAACUUCAAAUAUCCUUAUAACCAAAUUUUGAACUAGAAUUUUAUUAAAGUAAAAUUCACUUGAAAAUAAUAUUAAAGUAUUGAUUGUGUA